GGUGACAGCGGAGGGAUCAUUACAGAGUUGCAAAACUCCCAACCAUUGUGAACGAACCCGUUAUAGUUGCUUCGGCGGGUGGUGCGCUGAAACUGCCCGCCGGCAGCAUGCAAACUCUAGAUUACAGUGGAUCUCUGAGUAGCUUAUUCAAUAAGUUAAAACUUUCAACAACGGAUCUCUUGGUUCUGGCAUCGAUGAAGAACGCAGCGAAAUGCGAUAAGUAAUGUGAAUUGCAGAAUUCAGUGAAUCAUCGAAUCUUUGAACGCACAUUGCGCCCGCUAGUAUUCUGGCGGGCAUGCCUGUUCGAGCGUCAUUUCAACCAUCAGGCUCUAUCCAGGCCUGUGUUGGGGCCCUGCGGCUACCGCAGCCCCCUAAUUGCAGUGGCGGGCUCGCUGUUACCCCGAGCGCAGUAGCGUAUCUCGCUCUGGGCGUGGCGGCGGGUGCUAGCCGUGAAAUACUCACUUAAGGUUGACCUCGGAUCAGGUAGGAAUACCCGCUGAACUUAAGCAUAUCAAUAAGCGGAGGA
rnacentral:rRNA from 1 species